GAGCUGCCGCUGUGGGCGGGGGGUCUCGGCCCCACGCCCGGCCAGGUCGCCACGUAGGCGAGAGCUCUGCGGCCGAGCCGAGCCCAGCCGCGCCUGUGCCUAGGCUCGCCCCUUGGUGAGCGCUACAGCACCGUCCGUGCCGCCGUCUGAGGGCGCUGCCUCCGCAAACAGCUGGAGGUUAAAGCUGAUGGAGAGCGGAGCGCCUCUCGUCUGCGAGCACACACGUAACCUCGGGCGGGAGCGGCCCGUGAGCCCUUUCUUGAAGGGCCGGAGCUGGAACGAUCGCGGCAGCGCGAGGGGGGUCAGAGCUGCAGCGAGCUUUUUAUAGCGAAACCUUGACCGGCUAAAGCAGGCUUUUCCCACGCCCUGUAAAAGCGCUCAGCGUAGGAAAGUUUGCCGUAAGGGAGGGGAAAGGUUUCCACUGUAAACCUAAGAGGAAA